CCAUGACUUUAUUUUUGAAUAUUUCUGUGUUCAUGUGGUAGGGAAAACAUUGUUGUAUACUACAAAUUCCCUGUUUUGCUUUUAGGUUGGAGACUACAUAAGACUUUGACAGUUGGCGGGAAACCAUCAUCAACUGGAGAGAUGCCGGUAGAGGAAUGUCUGCGACUAAGUCAAGGGCCACUGGAUAAGGGUUGUUGAUGGCAAAACAGGUUGGAGACUACAUAAGACUUUGACAGUUGGCGGGAAACCAUCAUCAACUGGAGAGAUGCCGGUAAAAAGAUGGCCAUAAAACAGUGACUGCUGAUUCGCAUUGAGUUCUUUCUUACAUAUUGGAUGACCUAUGUUUUUUAUUGUUUAAAUCAUUGCGGCUUGGAAUGCUCUUUAAGAAAAGGUAUGGUUAUGGGGGUGUCUACGCGCAAAAGUUUGACUUUAUUUUUUGUUAAAGUUAUUGCUUUUACAUUGAAUUUGUGCAGGAAAUCUUUUGGUAUGUUGUGACCAUAAGCCAUUUCUAACAGAAUGAUAAUUUGCCUAUUUCUCCAAAUUGGAGGUAUUCUCCCCAUUCCAUUUCUGCCAAGUGAUUACCCAAUUUAUCCUCCUGUUAGCUCAUAACACACUAUUGUUAAUUGGCUUCAUGAGAUAAUAACUGUUCAUUUCCCCAUCUCUCCCAUUCACAAGCUAUCUAUAGAUCACAGCUAUCUUAUUUUCAGGAAACUGAUUUAGAUACAAGAUGUUACUUCUUGG